UUUCUUUUAGUCUAUUCCUUAACUUCAUUUUCUUCUAUGUUAAUUGAUGGGAUUCAAAAUUAUGGCAGAUCAUGUUUAGAAAGUUCGAAUUUGAUGGGAAACUAAAUCCUACUUUUGUGGAAGGGGCAUUUAAGCUCCCAUUAUCAAGCAUACGAGCGUAUCUAAAAGAGCCUAUUACUCCCAGGUUCGUACACCUAGGUUCUGCAGGAGUUACCCGACCUGACAGGCCUGGACUUGAUCCAAGUAAACAACCUCCUGCUAUUCGCUUAAACAAGGAAUUGGAUUUUAUACUGACAUGCAAGUUGAAGAUUUAGCUCUUUCGAUUUUGUACAUUGAUAAGUUUCGGAGAAGGGGGAGGACUUAAUACGGGAAAUGGAAUACCAUAUACAAUUGUGAGGCCUUGUGCAUUAACUGAGGAGCCUGCCGGAGCAGAUCUCAUUUUCUACCAGGGAGACAAUGUAAUGGGUAAGAUAUCAAGAGAGGAGGUUGCUCAGAUUUGUGUUGCUGUUGUAGUGCUUAAUGGAACUGCUUGAACUAUUGAAUAUCUUGCAGGUCAGGGAAAACUGUUAACCUCCCAAUUUGAUCUUAAAAGCAUACAAAAAAACUCCAAAACGCGUGCAAGUUGGUAAUUGAAAGGUUUCCUAUUUUAAUGUUCUUUCCAAGUCUGGUCAUGUUCCAUUUCCAUGUUGUGUU